GAGUAUUAAAAUCGCAUUUUAACAUUAACAUAUUGUAGACAGACAAAGAAGAGCGAAGAAGCUGUUGAGGCCUGUGGUAAAAGUUUCGCGAAGAGUUGUGCACAGAAACAGACUUUUGCCAUGAUAUAACAACAAAAACUGAAGCGAAGAUAGCGCCAAUGACUCACAUUUAAAAAUAAAAAAAAAGAGUUUGGCAUAUUUAAUUGUCAUUCAUUGGAUUUGAAGUAAGCAAACAAAAAAUAAUACAUAUUCUGAGUGUGCAGCAAUCAGUUGAGGCAGCCGCAGACAACGCUGCGUAUACGUAAUGUGCUUCCCACCUCAGGGAGUUGGUUGGAAAUAUGCAUUAUGGUAUUAUGUCAACAUCAACGACAGUGACAAUGUGAAUGCGCUGAGGGCGCAAAGCAAAGCAAAGCAAUUGAAAGAAAGGAAACAAAAAAGAAAAAGAAAAGGCAAAAGGCGAAAGAAAAACGAGCUGAAAAUGAAACCGAAUCCCAAUCAAAAUGCCAAGUGCCAGUAAAUUGUGGGCUUAUUGGAAACCUUCACGCUUCAAAGUGAAGGACUUUUUGCGGCUGCGUGCUUCGUGCGUCGUUGCGUGGCAGUGGCAGCAAUGACAACAACGGCACGAUUCCAACAACUCCAAAAACAUAACAACAACAACAAAAACAACAAACAGUUUGCAGCAGAUGAAAGUCAACACUUAACACUCGGCGAUCAGCCGCAGCUCAACUCCGCUCAGCUCACAGCUCGAAGCUCCAAGCUCCAAACUCGCAGCUCAACUUCAAUGACAGCGCGCUAAAUCAUUUUUUUGUCUUCCCUCGUUGUUGUCUUGAAUUAUUUUUAUCAGCUUGGCUUGUUGUACCCGAUCAAAGAUAUCGCAGCAACUUCAAGAACUAUGGCUGUCAAAUUUGAAGGCAAUAUUUUAGAAACAUAAAUGUAACUACAGCAUAUUUUACAAAGUUUCUGGCUUCCAUUUUCUGCACACAAAUCGAUAAAAACUUAGAGUGAGUCUUAACCUUA